rnacentral:ncRNA from 1 species
CAUAUUAGGUUUGUUAUGGUUGCUAUUUUUUUUUAGACGAACAAUAAUAAGCCCCGAAUGAAAUUGAGUAAAUUAUUUUCUC